rnacentral:misc_RNA from 1 species
UAGAGCACCACUCAAGUCAAUCAAUAAUGCUUUGGUGUUUUUGAGAGAAAAGGAUGGAAAAGAAAAGAAAACAAAAGAAACUAAAAGAAAAGACAAGGACAGAGAGACAUUCAAAUUUAUCAGUUGAGAUUUCUUUUUGUUGUUCAGUUCAUUUCACAGCAUUUCUGUAGGAGAAGAUUUCUUUCCUUAGUUUCCUAUAUAUCUGUAGGAGAUUAAAGAGGAUUUUUCUUUGCAUAAUUGCAUAUAUAUAUAUAUAUAUAGAUUACAGAAAGAGAAAGAAGAAGAUUUUUGGAGACAGAGAGAGAGAGA